rnacentral:rRNA from 1 species
AUUGAACGCUGGCGGCAUGCCUUACACAUGCAAGUCGAGCGCGAAAGGGGGGCAACCUCCGAGUAGAGCGGCGGACGGGUGAGUAACACAUCGGAACGUACCCAGUAGUGGGGGACAACCUCGAGAAAUCGAGGCUAAUACCGCAUACGACCUACGGGUGAAAGCGGGGGACCGCAAGGCCUCGCGCUAUUGGAGCGGCCGAUGUCCGAUUAGCUAGUUGGCGGGGUAAGAGCCCACCAAGGCGACGAUCGGUAGCUGGGCUGAGAGGACGACCAGCCACACUGGGACUGCGACACGGCCCAGACUCCUACGGGAGGCAGCAGUGGGGAAUUUUGGACAAUGGGGGCAACCCUGAUCCAGCCAUGCCGCGUGCGGGAAGAAGGCCUUCGGGUUGUAAACCGCUUUCGGCCGGAACGAAAUCGCCCGGGUGAACAUCCCGGGUGGAUGACGGUACCGGAAGAAGAAGCACCGGCUAACUACGUGCCAGCAGCGCCGUAAGAC